GUGCCAGCAGCCGCGGUAAUACGUAGGGUGCGAGCGUUAAUCGGAAUCACUGGGCGUAAAGGGAGCGUAGGCGGCGUGGUAAGUCAGAUGUGAAAUCCCGGGGCUCAACCCCGGAACUGCAUCCGAUACUGCCAUGCUAGAGGAUUGGAGAGGUAGCUGGAAUUCUUGGUGUAGCAGUGAAAUGCGUAGAGAUCAAGAGGAACACUCGUGGCGAAAGCGAGCUACUGGACAAUUCCUGACGCUGAGGCUCGAAGGCUAAGGUAGCGAAAGGGAUUAGAUACCCCUGUAGUCCUAGCAGUAAACGGUGCACGCUUGGUGUGAGGGGAAUCGACCCCCCUUGUGCCGGAGCUAACGCGUUAAGCGUGCCGCCUGGGAAGUACGGUCGCAAGACUAAAACUCAAAGAAAUUGACGGGGACCCGCACAAGCGGUGGAGUAUGUGGCUUAAUUCGAUGCAACGCGAAGAACCUUACCAAGGCUUGACAUGCAUCUCUAAACACGUGAAAGCGCGUGACCCUUCGGGGAAUUUGCACAGGUGCUGCAUGGCCGUCGUCAGCUCGUGUCGUGAGAUGUUGGGUUAAGUCCCGCAACGAGCGCAACCCUUGUGAUUAGUUGCCAGCACGUCAAGGUGGGAACUCUAAUCAGACUGCCCAGAUCAACUGGGAGGAAGGUGGGGACGACGUCAGGUCAGUAUGGCCCUUACGCCUUGGGCUGCACACGUACUACAAUGCCCAGCACAAUGAGAACCGAUGCCGCGAGGUGGAGGAAAUCUGUAAAACUGGGCUCAGUUCGGAUUGGAGGCUGCAACUCGCCUCCAUGAAGUUGGAAUCGCUAGUAAUGGUGCAUCAUCUACGGCACCGUGAAUACGUUCCCGGGUCUUGUACACACCGCCCGUCACAUCAUGGAAGCCGGUCGCACCCGAAGUGCUCGUACCAACCUGCAAAGGGGGUAGAGUCCUAAGGUGUAGCUGGUAACUGGGAUGAAGUCGUAACAAGGUAACC
rnacentral:rRNA from 1 species